rnacentral:sRNA from 1 species
CUUUAGCCUUGAUAAAAGUGAAAAUCCUUUUUGUUUUUCUUUAAAACAAAAAGAUUGUAACGAAUAGCGGCAACCCGC